GCAUCAGAUGCCAAACUGAACCACAGGAGGGACCUUCAAGAGGUCCAGCUAGCUCGGACCAGCAGCCGUAGAAGAACGAAGGAAACCACUCGGGCCAUCAUCCUAGCUUCCGACCCACCACCAAAGUGUAGGAGUUCGUUGUAACUCUUUUGUAAAUCCUGUAAAUUUGUAUAGAAAUGCUCUGAGAUCUUGUUGAACAUAAGGAACUGGUAGGAUUUUUGAGACUGUUUGACAGGUGGAAGACUUUGUGUUUGGUCAAAAUACAGGGUAGACUCUGCCGGAUUUUCGGCAGAAGUCGAAAGUAAAUUUUAAGAAAUUUGUUUAA